UUCGAAUUUUGCGUUCGAACCCUGAAGCGUUCGAAGUACGAGAUCAGGGUGCAGAAUUAACACCUGACCGGAUAAUUAUAGUUGCGGUCCGUAGUCAACUUUAAUCGUUCUUACUCAUUAAUUAAUUUACUGUCAGCAGGAAUGUCCCACCCAGUCUAGUUGAAUGUUCGUCAUUUUAACUGGGGAUUUUUUUUAUGAGUACUGCGCUACUUCCUUGCAAAUUAUGGGAGAAUUGAUGAAGUAACCUAUAGAGAGGGAAGAUACAGUGAUAAUGAACUAAAAUGAUAGCAGCUGGCUUAUAAAUUUAUUUUGAAAAAAGAUAACAAGCAAAUAGACAGUGUUAUAUCGUAUAAGUAUGCAGCCAAUAAUAUCAAUAUAUGAAUUGAUACGUUGUAGAAACAAACAACAGUGAAAGAAAUGUAAAUGGCUGUGGAGUCGGAGUCGGAGUCGUGGAGUUUUGGUGUUUUAGCCGGAGUCGGAG
rnacentral:lncRNA from 1 species